GAAACAGAGAUGAGUUUGUGUUCGGGUUUCCCUGCAUGUUUCCCUGCAUGCAUCAACCAAUGGUUGAGUUCCACGUCAUCGACUGUAUCGUCGACUGACAGAGCGGAAUAACAUACGAUGUGGUAAUACAUAAAAUCCCUAUCCAGGCAUUGUAUCAACAACUGGGUAUAGGAGCACACUCUGUAUAUGUGAGAGAGAGAAAGAGAGAGAGAGAGAGAGACAGGGAGAGAGCGACAGGGAGAGAGAGACAGGGAGAGAGAGACAGGGAGAGAGAGAGAGAAAAAAAAUUGAGGGAAGAGAGGUUGUGUGUGUGUCUCAGUGUGUGUGGAGGGGGGUAGUGCUAGUGAGAGAGGCUGUAGUAAUGUGCUGGAGUGAAUGUGAACUCAGCAAACCACCAUGGAACCUUCUAGACUGCUAUACACAACUUCUACCAUAUCCUUUGCCGUGGCGAACACGUGGAGCUCCUCCCCCGUUCUUUGUUUUAAUGUCAACAUCCCACUCCUCCACUUAAGGUUAAGUGUAGUAGCGGUGGCUGGCUGUGUGUGUGAAUGUCUGUUCCCAUGGCGCAGCGGGAGACAGGCGGCACCAGCCCGGUGGUCCGGCAGAUAGACAAACAGUUCCUGGUCUGCAGCAUCUGUCUAGACCACUACCACAACCCUAAAGUCCUGCCCUGCCUGCACACCUUCUGUGAGAAGUAAGUCUCUACCAUACACUAUACACCCAACCUCUACCACAACCCUAAAGUCCUGCCCUGCCUGCAUACCUUCUGUGAGAAGUAAGUCUCUACCAUACACUAUACACCCAACCACUACCACAACCCUAAAGUCCUGCCCUGCCUGCAUACCUUCUGUGAGAAGUAAGUCUCUACCAUACACUAUAC